rnacentral:rRNA from 1 species
AUUGAACGCUGGCGGCAUGCUAUACACAUGCAAGUCGGACGAGUUGCGAACGGUUGAGUAAUAUAUCGGAACGUACCGAGUAAUGGGGGAUAACUAAUCGAAAGAUUAGCUAAUACCUCAUAUUAUUCGAGCGGCCGAUAUCUGAUUAGCUAGUGGGGGGGGUAAAGGACUACCAAGGCGACGAUCAGUAGCGUGUCUGAGAGGAUGAUCCGGCACACUGGGACUUAGACACGGGCCAGAAUCCUACGUGAGGCAGCAGGGGGGAAUUUUGGACAAUGGGCGCAAGCCUGAUCCAGCCAUGCAGCGUGUCUGAAGAAGGCCUUCGGGUUGUAAAGGACUGUUGGCAGGGAAGCGGUACAGGAAGAAUAAGCACAGGCUAACUACGUGCCAGAAGCCGCGGUAAUUC